CUGGGACAUCUGGUGACUGGCAGCACUGGGCAUUGCCCCGCUGCCCAGCAUCCUCAGCAGGGCAGUGAAACAAAGCCCAUCAGUGUCUCUUUGUACACCAGCAUCUCAGAUGAGCAGGGACAAGACAAAUGAGAUCAGUAGGAGGAUUGUUCAGCAGGCAGUUUUGGAGAGAGGAUAUUUCCUCAAGGAGUAGGCAGCAAGGAAGAAGGCAAAAAAAAAAAGGAGACAUUAAGACUAAGUGACAACGAGAACAAGAAGACCAUGCCAUAAAGCUCCUCCAUGCCCUCUUUCCAAAUUCUGCUGCAGCAGGAAUGCCAGUAAAAAUAUCAGUUUUCUGUUGGGCUGUGUGGAG